rnacentral:rRNA from 1 species
CCUACGGGAGGCAGCAGUGAGGAAUAUUGGUCAAUGGGCGGAAGCCUGAACCAGCCAAGUCGCGUGAGGGAAUAAGGCCCUACGGGUCGUAAACCUCUUUUGCCGGGGAGCAAAGGCGGGUACGUGUCCCGGCCCGCAUAGUCCCCAGAGAAAAAGCCUCGGCUAACUCCGUGCCAGCAGCCGCGUUAAUCCGUAGGAUGCGGGCGUUCUCCGGAUUGAUUGGGUUUAAAUGGUGCGUAGGCGGGCUUUUCAGUCAGCGGUAAAGAUUCGGGGCUCAACCCCGUCCGGCCGUUGAAACUGGGGGCAUGGAGUGGGGGAGAAGAAGGCGGAAUGCGUGGUGUAGCGGUGAAAUGCAUAGAUAUCACGCAGAACCCCGAUUGCGAAGGCAGCCUGCCGGAG